rnacentral:tRNA from 1 species
AUUACUUUGGCAGAAAAGUGUAAUGAAUUUAGAAUUCAUUUAUGUAAUUAUAUUUUACAAGUAAUA